AAGAGACAGCAGCCGCCGCGGUAAUACAGAGGGUGCAAGCGUUAAUCGGAAUUACUGGGCGUAAAGCGCGCGUAGGUGGUUUGUUAAGUUGGAUGUGAAAUCCCCGGGCUCAACCUGGGAAUUGCAGUGGAUACUGGGUCACUAGAGUGUGGUAGAGGAUAGUGGAAUUUUCGGUGUAGCAGUGAAAUGCGUAGAGAUCGGAAGGAACAUCUGUGGCGAAGGCGACUAUCUGGGCCAACACUGACACUGAGGCACGAAAGCGUGGGGAGCAAACAGGAUUAGAUACCCCUGUAGUCCCUGUCUCUUAUAC
rnacentral:rRNA from 1 species